AUCGCGUUCCGACCCGGGGAAUACCCUCGGGCAGAUGACGCCAGCCAUCUGGGCCGUGGCGCGUGCCGCCCUGGGCGAUAUUUAAGACCGCCGAGCCCCCCUCCGCUCAGCACUGUUCUCAGUCGCGGACCAAAGUGCACCACUGGCGGUCGUCACGUCACAACCGCGCCCAAAACGACAAUGCCCAGCGGACAGAAGAUGGGUCAGAAGGCCAUCGACAACCGGGCCAACCAGCUGAACCCCAACCAUCCGAGCUACCAGGGCGGCACAAACCGGCACAACGCCUCCUUCGACCAGAUGGCCAGGGCGGCCGUCAACAACCGCGCCAACCAGCUCAACCCCAACAACCCGCGCUACCAGGGCAAAAAGAAGUGAGCUCCUUCUGCCGACUCGGGAGUCUGCACAGCUUCCCAGAGUUUCAGCCAAGAGAAAUCGAGGGAUCCAUCGGGGGUACUCGCGGAUCCUACAUAUCAAGACCAGAGCGCAAGCGAUCGCUUUUAUAGGUAACGACAAGCGGACAGCAGAUAUAAUAGUAUCUGUCACACGAGACAAUCUGAUCGUUAAACUGUGUCAAUGAAGCUGACGCUGAGUAUUCGUACAUGUAGUGCGUGCACAUCAGGAACGGUAAAUGUAUCUAAUCUACUGACUCUUCAUGACUACAUACACAUUUAACACAUCCAUACGGAAUGGUGACUCGUGUGUUCUUUCACUGUAUGUAAAGCAUGGCUAUGGAUACAGAAUAAAGACGCUUUUAAUUUCA